UCCGAUAUGGUCUAGUAACAGGAUACCUGGCUUUCAUCCAGGAGGCUCUGGUUCGCUUCCCGAUAUCGGAA
rnacentral:tRNA from 1 species